AACGACUGCUAAGACUGGAUAGGAAACAAAAAGGCAUCUUUUUGUUUUUAAAAGACCUUCUUACGAUAGGUAUGCUUAAAGAGGGGCUUGCGCCACAUUAGUUAGUUGGUAGGGUAAAAGCCUACCAAGACGAUGAUGUGUAGCUGGACUGAGAGGUUGAACAGCCACAUUGGGACUGAGACACGGCCCAAACUCCUACGGGAGGCAGCAGUAGGGAAUUUUCGGCAAUGGAGGAAACUCUGACCGAGCAACGCCGCGUGAACGAUGAAGUAUUUCGGUAUGUAAAGUUCUUUUAUUGAAGAAGAAAAAGUAGUGGAAAAACUAUAUUGACGUUAUUCAAUGAAUAAGCCCCGGCUAACUAUGUGCCAGCAGCCGCGGUAAGACAUAGGGGGCGAGCGUUAUCCGGAAUUAUUGGGCGUAAAGGGUGCGUAGGCUGUUAGAUAAGUCUAUAGUCUAAGUGCAACGCUCAACGUUGUGAUGCUAUAAAAACUGUCUUGGCUAGAGUGAGAUAGAGGCAAGCGGAAUUCCAUGUGUAGCGGUAAAAUGUGUAAAUAUAUGGAGGAACACCAGAAGCGUAGGCGGCUUGCUGGGUCUUUACUGACGCUGAGGCACGAAAGCGUGGGUAGCAAACAGGAUUAGAUACCCUGGUAGUCCACGCCGUAAACGAUGAGUACUAAGUGUCGGGGUAAAACUCGGUACUGAAGUUAACACAUUAAGUACUCCGCCUGAGUAGUACGUACGCAAGUAUGAAACUUAAAGGAAUUGACGGGACUCCGCACAAGCGGUGGAUCAUGUUGUUUAAUUCGAAGAUACACGAAAAAUCUUACCAGGUCUUGACAUACUUCUGCAAAGCUAUAGAAAUAUAGUGGAGGUUAUCAGGGAUACAGGUGGUGCAUGGUUGUCGUCAGUUCGUGUCGUGAGAUGUUAGGUUAAGUCCUAAAACGAGCGCAACCCUUGUCGUUAAUUGCCAGCACGUAAUGGUGGGGACUUUAGCGAGACUGCCAAUUAAACAUUGGAGGAAGGUGAGGAUUACGUCAAAUCAUCAUGCCCCUUAUGAUCUGGGCUACAAACGUGAUACAAUGGCUGUGACAAAGAGUAGCUGAAACGCGAGUUUUUAGCCAAUCUCAAAAAAGCAGUCUCAGUUCGGAUUGAAGUCUGUAACUCGACUUCAUGAAGUUGGAAUCGCUAGUAAUCGCGAAUCAGCAUGUCGCGGUGAAUACGUUCUCGGGGUUUGUACACACCGCCCGUCAAA
rnacentral:rRNA from 1 species